UGCCUCUUACUACUGCCUCUGGAGAGUAUCCAGUAUUCUACCAGUCUUGGGUAUGGGUGGGAGAGUCAAGCAGAGGAAUAUCCAUUCCAUUCCUAGUGUGGGCAGUGGCUAGCGAGUGGAAGGCAAUCUGCUAAAAGG